UCNNGCCAUGCCGCGUGUAGGAAGACUGCCCUAUGGGUUGUAAACUACUUUUAUAUGGGAAGAAUAAGGUCUACGUGUAGACUGAUGACGGUACCAUAAGAAUAAGCACCGGCUAACUCCGUGCCAGCAGCCGCGGUAAUACGGAGGGUGCAAGCGUUAUCCGGAAUCAUUGGGUUUAAAGGGUCCGUAGGCGGGCAUAUAAGUCAGUGGUGAAAGUCUGUGGCUCAACCAUAGAAUUGCCAUUGAUACUGUAUGUCUUGAAUUAUUGUGAAGUGGUUAGAAUAUGUAGUGUAGCGGUGAAAUGCUUAGAGAUUACAUAGAAUACCGAUUGCGAAGGCAGAUCACUAACAAUAUAUUGACGCUGAUGGACGAAAGCGUAGGUAGCGAACAGGAUUAGAUACCCUGGUAG
rnacentral:rRNA from 1 species